rnacentral:rRNA from 1 species
UGGGGAAUAUUGGACAAUGGGCGAAAGCCUGAUCCAGCCAUGCCGCGUGUGUGAAGAAGGUCUUCGGAUUGUAAAGCACUUUAAGUUGGGAGGAAGGGCAUUAACCUAUUACGUUAGUGUUUUGACGUUACCGACAGAAUAAGCACCGGCUAACUCUGUGCCAGCAGCCGCGGUAAUACAGAGGGUGCAAGCGUUAAUCGGAAUUACUGGGCGUAAAGCGCGCGUAGGUGGUUUGUUAAGUUGGAUGUGAAAUCCCCGGGCUCAACCUGGGAACUGCAUUCAAAACUGACUGACUAGAGUAUGGUAGAGGGUGGUGGAAUUUCCUGUGUAGCGGUGAAAUGCGUAGAUAUAGGAAGGAACACCAGUGGCGAAGGCGACCACCUGGACUAAUACUGACACUGAGGUGCGAAAGCGUGGGGAGCAAACA